GUCAUGGUGAUUCAACCCUUAGGUUUGAUCACACGGCCAUACUUCUACUUCUUACUCUAAAAUGAUCUUCCAUUUUUGUCCCCCUCAUUACAUGACCGUGUUCUGUUUCAUGAUAUGCUUAUCCGUCUACCAUAGUAGGCAUUCUCGCAUAUUCGAAUCGCGACUCAACCUCCAAGAUAUUCCCAUGAGUGCGUCCUCGCACAACAGUCCCCAUUCCAGAUGCCAAAUAAUUGUUUCCCGACUAUUGAAGAAUGAAUCAUAAGACUUAGCUUUUCUUUCUUUGCCGAAGAAAACUCCUUAUAUUUCUACUCGUCGAGUAAGCUAAUCACAUGUGGAUAUUGUUGUUUAAAAUUUGUGAGAAAUAUAGUGAUAUAUGUAUAAAAUGGAUAUCAAUGUAUGUUUGUAUAUGUAUAAGUAUAAAGAGUGGCGUUGAAUAAUAAUAAUGGAGAGGAUGGGAAUGUCGUACUUAUCAUGUGCGCUUCUGUGAUGAUUCCACAUGCAUUAUGACCCUCCAAAACAAAACAACACGAUAUAAAGAGGAAAAAUAUAAAAACCGAACUUUGGAUUCAUG